AUUGCCUCAGUAACGGCGAAGUGAAGCGGCAAUAGCUCAAAUUUGAAAGCUGGCUUACGCCCGCGUUGUAAUUUGUAGAGGAUGCUUCGGAUGCGGUGCCGGUCUAAGUUCUUUGGAACAGGACGUCAUAGAGGGUGAGAAUCCCGUAUGUGACUGGUGGCCUGCGUCUAUGUGAAGCUCCUUCGACGAGUCGAGUUGUUUGGGAAUGCAGCUCUAAAUGGGUGGUGUACUUCAUCUAAAGCUAAAUAUUGGCUGGAGACCGAUAGCGCACAAGUAGAGUGAUCGAAAGAUGAAAAGCACUUUGGAAAGAGAGUUAAAUAGUACGUGAAAUUGUUGAAAGGGAAGCGCUUGCAAUCAGACUUGCGCUGCGUCGAUCAACCUGGGUUCUCCCUGGUGCACUCGGCGCAGCUCAGGCCAGCAUCAGUUUCGGCGGUUGGAUAAAGGCUUGGAGAACGUGAGUUGCUUCGGCGACUGUUAUAGCUCCAGGUGCAAUGCAGCCAGCUGGGACUGAGGACCGCGCUUUUCGCGAAGCUAGGAUGCUGGCGUAAUGGUUGUAAGCGACCCGUCUGAAAACACGGAA
rnacentral:rRNA from 1 species